UAAAAACUCUAAGAUUCAGGUUGGAAAUGGGGGAGUCACUUCUCCAACUAUACAGUUGGCUAGUGAAGGAAAUCCUUCCCCCCCUUGAUCGGGACGCCGGUCGAGGUAACUUCCCUGGGAUUGAAAGCCCUUACCUGGCGGGGUAAGUGAAUAUUGUUUAUGCUUUAAGUUUGUAAACGCGUGUGUGCUUGUGGUUGUCUGUGAAUCGCUUGUGGUUGUAAUAAUGUACUACUCUUGCCUUAAAAAAUUGCAAUAGUGCAUUCCUCCAUUGUAUCUGUAAAACCUGCAAUAGUACUGUGUUAAGUCUGUAAGUGAAGUUCAGAUAAAUCAUUUGUUUGAACCUUGCAGUUAAGUCUGCGAGUGAAGUUCAAGUCGUUUGCUUGAACCUUGCAGUUAAGUCCUUUUCCAUCACAUUAAAGGUUCAGUAGACCUUGGAAGAAAAUUUGGCAGUGUUGGACAGAACAAGAUGGUGGGUCCUGAUUUAGGUUUGAAAGAAGCUUGCAAGCAAACCUCCUGUGAUGUAAACACUGUUUCCUUGGUUCUGGCAUCUUUUUUUUUCUUCUUCUCUUUUUUUUCCUUUGUCUGAUUAAUUUGAAGUUACUGGGGUGAACUUCAAAAGAUGGGUGUGCUGGUUGUUUUCUAGGCAUCAGUAACAAAAGUGAAAUUACUUCAUCAAGACAGUGGAGCUGGGCGUCUGAGGUAACGUGUUCACUGGGUAAGCAAUGAGUGCUUUUGGGUGGAGUAGUUACCUGCAGGGAGACACUUCCCUGUAAAACCCUGUAGCUUACCGAAUCCAGUUAUCGUGCCUCAGUAUUGCAGUGGAGACAAAGCGGAGGUAUUGACCUCAGCCAGCAGCUUCAGACAGAAAUGGUACUUGCGCAGGGCUGAGGCGCCAGCAGCAGAGACCUGGUGCCGAUACUGGCCUCCAGUGUUUCUGCUGAGGCAAAAGCCUCGCGUGACCCGUCUCUGCGAGGGUUUGACGAAAUAGCAGCUGCGUGAGUCGCCUUGCUGUGGAACGGUUUGAUGACGGUGGUGGAGGCAGAGUUGCAGAAAGGAUGGGGUGUCUAGCCAGGCUGGUUAACUCUUUGUAGGUGGCAGUGUGGCCCAGGCCCGGUGAGCCCAGAGCAGCUGCUCCAGCUACGUCGGUUCCUACGUGCUCGUGUUGAUGGACAGCUGUUCCCCCAGUAGCUCCUGGGUAUUUUGGAGACCUUUGGGUAAGCCCACGAAGCGCUUCGUGAGGUAAGAGUGAAUAAUUUUGAGGUGCCAGAGAGCUAGAAGCAACUAAACAUUUCAAACAGCCUGAAAACGGUGGCAGUUGGCUAGCUGUUGGGGCUGGCUCUGUAGCUUACCUGUAUUUGCAAUCGCCUGAUUACUGCCACUUGAAAGCCAAAAAGAUUCAGGAGGUGGAGAACCAUAUCUUUAAGUUCACGGAAGUGUUUCAUUUUUAAAAGGCUACAGUUUAUUAUUUCUUUUGAUUCCUGUGAGUAGGACCAGUUCCAACAGCUCUGGAAGCAGCUAUGCAGGACAGUGAUCGCCGCUUUUCAGUGGGAAUAUAGAGCUCCUCCUGUCUGCACCUGUUUGUACAGGGGUUGGACAACCUAUUUUCAGCAAGGUCUGGACCCUCAGGCUGUCUUACGCAGGUCUUCGUUGCAACGGAGAAAAAUACCAUGCUAAUUGAAGACAUAUUGCUUCCUCUGGACAAAAAGGGAGAGUCCCUACUUGGCAAAACGAGGAGACAUUAUGGCAAAAUGGAAAGCUGACAGUGUUUUGACAGGAAUCUAAGCAUCAAGUGGCCAUGAAGAGUGUGUCUGAGAAGUAGCCACCGUUUAACCCUACUGAAGCACAGCAGUAGGACCAUGGAAGGAAACCUACACUGCUUUUUUCCUGUGCCGACGUUUCUCUUUGGAUGAAAUAGAGAAUUUUAACCUCUGAGUAGAAAAUGUUGUAUUUUCAUGCCAGUGCAAUGACUUAUGAUAAUUUUAAUGUGUAAAGUUGAAAUAGUUUCUCCGUGAAAUGUUUGCAGUCACUGUCUUGUGAUGCUACUUACUGUUCUGGGUGCUGUGUUGAUAAAUAGUGUUGGCUGGACAGUAACUGCUUUCCUUAGAAAAACUUGAAUUUAGUUUUCAUUUAGAUUUGGAGUAAAAGGAAAUGACUUUUUUCCCCCACCUUCAUUAAUUGGGAAAGAAUGCAAUAACUGUGUCCCAGAACAGCAAGCUGAGUCAUGAGCAAAGCACUCACCUGAAUGGAGAACGGGGUGAAAGGAUGGGGUCAUGGUGCUGCUCAGGAAUGGUUCUUGCCUGUGUCUCUUUCAGACCACCCCAAACCUAAAUUAUCUUCCUGCGAAUACAAGCAUCAGACUGUCAGUGUUUCUGUAGAACUGACUUUUGACCAAGCCUUCAAUUUUUCAGUGGGAAAAAUAUUUUGUUGAAGGAGGUUUUGACCACUUCUAAUGAAAGCAGUCAUUAUUUUUACAGUUUUACAUUAAAACUUAAGGGCAAGACAAAUCUUAGGAGCUAGGCAUCUGCUCUGAAAAUCUACAGAUAAUAAACCAGUGAUGAGUCUAUGAAUCAGCAGGACUGCAGGGCUCUACUUCCUGGGAUUCAUCCGAAAGCUGUCUCCAACAUUUGUAGAGUUACAGAUUUGAAAAACUGUGUGAGAAUACAAUCUCUUUCUAUAUGUGGAAGGACUACCAAGGA